CGCAUCAGAGAUCAGAGCAGAUUUGGGUUGUUGCAGACUGCGCUGGUGUCUGUUAGAAAUUUUCUGACCAACACUAUUUGUCUGAAUUCCCAGGAAUGCUGCUUGCUCUUCAGAAUGGAAAAAUGUUCUAUUUUUGGCCAUGACAACUUUUCUGGGAAAAAAAAAAUAUAUUAAACAAAGCAUGGCAAGGGUUCAUGUGUGUAGGUCUUCAUGAUGUGUAAUGGGAACGGGGAGAGGCUUAGCAAAUAAACUUCAGACAGAUACAUGAGGAAGCUAUUAAUGCUCUUCUUGCAACUGAAGGCUAAGAAAAUGCAUCAUUAAGUGGAUUAUCUGGAGACCCUGGUGUGUUGGAAUGGAGGCAGACUUGGGUAUAUGUGAAAAUAUCUCUUUGACCAAAAAAGAUCAAAACAAAUGGAUAAAUAAACAUAGAAGCAUAUGUCUCAAGAAUGAGAGAGGGAGCAAUGGUGGAUCAAAAAAAAAGCAUCAUUCAGGAGCUUUGGGAAGCCUUGGAUGAGCAAAGGGCUGACAAUGUGGCAAAUACCCAAAAGAGCUGUUUGGAGCUGGCAGCUCAAGUCUCCAGCCAUCAGUUUGGUUCCUGGUGGAGACAUCAGCUGGCAGUGAGGCUUCUCAUGCCUUCCCAUCCAGCCUGUGGGAAGAGGUGAUCUUUUCUGAGGAUGAUGCAGAAGGAUGCUGCCUUCUUCUAUAAAGAGCAACAAUUUGUUCUUAGGGACUGGCUGUGGUUACUUCUAUGUGUGAUGUUCUUUGGGUGAAGAGCUGUUUUUUAGCAUUCAAACAGAACCCCUAGCCUACAAACCAUGGCCAUGACCUCUUGCUGCAUGACUUGCUGCAUCACCUUUCACUUCCAAGAAGAGCUUGACUGCAUCCACCGCUGCCCAUGUUGUGACUGAGAACUGUUCCUCACCCUCCUGCAGCCCAGCUUCCUUUCAUCUUCUCUCGGGCUGGUUGCUCCAGGCCUUCACACAGGCCCUUACCAAGGUCUUCACAUCCCUCUUGAACAGGGGAAUGUAUCUGGAAAGAUCAUCCAGAUGUGACAUCAAAAGUGGUGAACCAGUAUGUACAUAAAUUUUAGCCCUGGACAGUAGAUUGCGCACUGUCGGCAGUGUGAACUAUUUCAGAUUGAUCAAAAAUCUAGGUGUGGGUCUUUGAUUGAAAGACUGAAGCUCUGGUUUGCACACUACACCUCAUGUCCUACUCUUAGUCCUAUUUGUAACCCUUGAAGCCUGGCUUUACAUCAUUCAGGAAGGAAGAAAUCAAGAAAACAUGUUGUUUGAUGUGCAUGUACAAAUCACUGUAUUACCUCACUAUCGUGCUUCUUUCCCUCAAACGGUUUCAAGGUGCAAAAAGCAUAUAGGUUUGCAUAUUAGGGAAGCAUAUUAGGGAACAAGUAUUGGGUCAGCCAUUCUGCUCUGCAACACAGCUUUUCGUUAUGACUGCCUUGUUCUGGGUAGUGUGACAGUCUCUGUUGUAAACAUAAUGGAAAGGGCUGCAGCUUUUCCUAGAACAGCAAUUGCUCAGACUUAGCAUUCUGUGCUGGUGUGAGAGUUCACACUAGGCCCAGCCUUGACAACACUUAAGCAGUGCUGUCAUCUGUGCUUCCCUUGGUUGUAUUCUGCCUGCCUUGGGUUCAUCUUAAGCAAGGUCUUUGUCUGGCUACAGUGUAAAAAGUAGAAUAAAAAUUGCUGAUUGUGGAGAGACAAGUGAUGUCUUUAUGAAAAAAAAAAAAAGUAGGAAAAAAAACAAACAAAAGGCUGGUGAGAGGUUGUGUAGGGAGUUGUCUGACUUACGUACUUGCAACUUGGAUCUCAUAGCUUAAUGCAUAUAUACCUAAAAUGGGCAAAAAGUGCUUAUAUUGGCCACAGAAUAGGACUGUAAGCAACGACUGGCUUGGUCACAGGAGUGGGGAGAUAUCCGGGCUUUUGCAUUGCCCUUUGCUCCUCCCUAUUUGGCUUUGCAUGAGCUUUUAGGGAAAAAAGUCCAGCAGGGGCUGAGCUGUAAACACAGUCAGCCACAACUGCAAAUCUGUGGUGCUCUGCUGAAGGUCCUCAGACUGGACCAAUUCACAGCAGCAGGAGGAUCAAGCUUUCCAAAUCUGUGAUAGGACUGAAGCCUGCAUCCAGCCCUGUGGAGGAUGAGCCAUCUCCACUUUUUUUUUUAUCUCUGAAGAUGUCCUGGGGCAGAGCUGGAGGCCAAGGCCCACCGGAGCCUGCUCGCAUCACCAUGCCUGCUGAGCAGGAGACCGGGCCGCGCUGCUCCCGCUAACCCCUGGCCACAGGCCCACUGGCUUCUGCGAUGGCCUCAGCAACAUCUGCUUCAUCCAUUAGCAUAGCACUCCUCUCCUGGCCUCCGGCCUGAGCCUUUGCUGCCAUUGAUUAGCAGCAAUUUCCUUCCCAAACCCGAAUGUUCGCCGGACGCCAGAUUGGAUUGCAGUCUGCCUGCCGUUGCAAAGCCACAGUGUGGGUGUGCAUGCACAGGAGUAUAAAUAGCACUGACUUGUUGCCCUCUGAGACGUUUCAGGAACUCUUCUGCUCUCGCUGAAGUUCGGAUUGCCUUCAGAUAUCUUCCCUUUGAGCUCAUGAGUAUAAACUUAUUUCGUGCCUCACCAGCUUUGACUCCUAAACCACGUUCUCGUGUUUGCAUGUUUCUCUCGUUCAACUUCAGCAGUUACAGCACCAGGAAACGUCACUGGUUUCUCCUGCACUGGAAAGCUAAUGCCUGUGUUACUGUUUAUGAAAAGCUUAUUGUCUUCUUGGAAAGAAAGGGAAGUUUUAAAAUGCUUUCUUAAGCAAAUGAUCUCUUGCACCCUUAAAAAAUUUUCUCACCCAGUGACCCAGAUCUGUGAUCCUUUAAAGCUCUAGAAAACCAAUCAUAUUAAAAACCUUUUCUUUUUUUAAUUAGAAGAUUGCUAACUAUUUCCUGUAUCAUUAAGCCAAUGCCAAACCUCUUCACCAUUAAGGCUAUAUCCACUCUGUAUGGCCAGGCUGUGGUAUUUGGGACAAUUUCCAGAAAAACAAAUGGACAAACCUGGACGAGCUCUUCUCCAGCUUGGUUUCUCCUUUGCAGGUUAUCUGACUUAAUCAAUUUUCCUAUCCAGCCCCAAGAUGAAGAACAGUGACAUGAAACUGCAUCUGAGGCUGCAGUGCAGUGGCCCAAGCUGCCUCCGUUGUGUCAUUUCCUCCUCUUCUCCUGGUUGUCAGGAUUUGCAGUAGCCUGUGCUAAAGGUUUGCAGGUGGAAGAGGCCAAGAGAGCUGCUCUCACGGAAGUGACCAUCAUGCUUUAUCCAGCCUACACAAGCCUACAAGUUACAUGAGACCACAUCCUGAAGCAGGCCGAGCCCUCCCAGCUUCAAGCGCUUCCAUAUCACACAGAACACCAUUUCGUUGAGGAAAAACCCUCAACAGCACUUGAAAAGAAAGAAAAAAGAAAAUGACUUUAUUAUUUCCAUUGUGGUGGAAAGCAUUUGGUGUCUUCUUAAGGUGUGAGAGUUUGUGCGUCUGUGGCCAACUGCUCAAGUACUCCGAGCCCUUAUUCCUGCAUAUAAGCUGAUGUCCUGCUUAGAGUGGAGAUUUACAACCUGCUCACCAUGGGGGUUGCAUCAGUAAGACAUGUGUUCUCCUCGUUCUCAUACAUUAGCUUGUUUUGGGAGGGGAAAAUGGCUGCUCCCUUCAAAGAAAUCCCGGCUUUUGCUGAUGCUAUCUGGCAUUUUCACGGUGUCAUCAUUUUGCAACUCAUUUCGUGAUCCAGGGCAAAUGUGCGUCAGGGCAUUGGGGUUUUGGUAUACCACAGACGUCAUCUGCUUCUCAACUGCCGCUAACUUGAGGAAGUUGUCAAAAAUACAAUUGGUUUCUCCUACAGAGGAAAACACAUGGCUUAGAAAGCAGUGGGAGCUGCCUGUUUUCCUUUUUGGGUGAAGAACAGGAAUUUUCAGAAUUUGGUCAGAAAGUGGUUUGGGCUGUGGGAGAAGUUGGACUUUGAUCCCAGGGAAAAUCAACUUUGAGAUAACAAGCUCUACAAAAACUCCCCAUUUAUUUGGUACAUUCAUUUGUUUUCAACUAUGUAUGUGCACAUAAUGUGAAUGUAACUAUAUAUAUAAAAUGUCUUCCAUCCUUUCCUCUUUGUGACCGUAGCAGGAGGAAGGGCCUUUACAGCAGCCACCAAAGGACUAAGACGUGCGACAGAGGGAACAGCGUGUUCUUCCAGAGCAUGAAGCUUGGCUCUGGUGCUCACUUCAGGUGGUUAUAUGCGUGGCAUAGAUGCCACGAAUGACUCACAGAUGACUGCAGUACUUAAAAUUUCCUACAAGGGGUUGAUCUGAGGUGAACAGAUAGAGGAAGGAGACAUUAUACGUAGCUCUGUGGACUGGUUCUUCAAGGGUGAUGCAGAAGUCAUUUGCAUGUGAAGUUCUCCCUCUGGCAAAGCUUAGUUUUACAGCAAAAUAUUCUCAGGAAUUCUGUUAUAUUGUGAAAGCCAGAUGAGGGAGGCUGCCUGAAAGCAAUACAAGAUGGCCAGUGUAUCUGGCAAACUAGAAACUUCCUGAUGUAUGUGUGAACAUGACCAAAUACUAUCUAAUGUGCCAAACUGCUCUGAAAGCACAUUUGAAUCAGAAUUAAGUUCAUGCAUCUGGGCCAUCCUGCAGCUGCUUCUACAGGAACGUGUUUGGGUCUAUAGUAGCCUUACUUUCAAGCUUGACCUGUCUUCUGUUGCUUGUAUCUCUUUUGGAGAACUAGAAGACCUUCAAAAGAAACAGCUGUGGUUCUUAUAGUCAUCAGUAGUACUUCCAGCUUGUUUCAGAGAUGCAGCUUGCCCAUUCUCUUUCCGUGCUGCAAUUUGAAAGGUUGAAUGGACUCAAGACAUGCCAAAAUGAUGCACAUUUGGUAUCACUAAAAUUUUCAGCACUUACUGCUUGUCACCAUAAGCAGAGUUGUAACCACACAGGUGCUGCAUCAGAAGAGAGAAAAGCUGGAGCCAAUACUAGUGGAAUCAUUUGACCUGACCUCAAUGGCAAGGGGCAGCCCCAUGAUGUGAAGGCUGGAAGUUCCUGUGUCCAAGGGCAAAAGCUUUGGAAAACUCAGAGGGUAAAGUAGCCAUGCGUUUCUCGAGAUCUACAUUCACUUCUACUUUUAGUGGCUUGGACCAAACCUUAAUGUAAGCAACUGCUUUGGCAUGUUGCACUAAAAUUUUAUCUGGAUGGUGUCGCAAUGUCCUUUGAGCUGUGGGAGAAGACAGUGCUUGAAAUAUGCAUGUUUGAGCAAGUUCAACGCAGCUUGCUUUUGCUGGAGCCUGACUUUCUUUCCUGGACAAAGCCAGAGAUUUGUGGAGUCUAAUAAUGUGUCAGCAAACCAACUUGGCAUAUAGAAAUGAGAAGGGCGAGUCCCUGUUCCAGUUGCAUAAAAAUGUCAGUGUGUGUGGGGAGUAGAUGAAGGUAAAAUUAAGGCCUAGUUUAUUUUCUUUCCUUUAAAGUGUAUUGUGUUUCUUGCUGAUGAGAAUGAUUUCAUAAUUACAAGCAUAUGGUGAAAAUGUCUGGGUAUCGGUAGAGAGUUGAGAUCUGAACUCAGGUCUGGUCUAGACUAUAUUCCUGUGGUCGUACAGUAGGUAAAUCUUGUGGCACAAUUUCUUGACUUUUUAACACGAGAAGCACUGCCAGCAUGUGAUGACCCAGAUAGACCAUUGGUGAUCUCAGAGAACAUGGUCUAUUUGCUUUCUAGUUUUGCCGACAUGCUUGGGGUCAGCAUUUUGAGCCAUACCCCGUAGGCAUGUCCUAGACAUUUUCUUCUGACACCAAGGAGAAUUGAUGUAACUACUGGUUUUCAGGAAUGCAAGCUUUAAAACAAAUAAUCAGAAGUUAAAAAACUUGUUGUAAAACUGACAGUUCAUGUUUUACUUGUUAACGUUGUUCCAAAUGUAAAAUUGGAGUGUGCUUUAAAAUUGUUACAGUGCAGUUCCCCAUGAGGCAAAAUGCCUUCAGUCUGCUGGGAAUGACAAACAAUAAUGGCAGAAGGAAAGUCAACAGGGCUAAAAUUAAAAUACUUGUGUUUAUAAUUGCUUUUACCAAGUUCCUGGAAGGCCCCUGUUUCAGAUGCAGGAUCCUGUAGGGUUAGGUGAAAUAGAACAGAGCAUAAUCCCAGUCCCAGAAGGUUUUGAGCUAUGCAGGUCUCUUCCACUGACCAGACUUCCACUGACACACUUGGAGACCAUGUUACAGACAUAUCAUUUCUAAUUGAAAAAAAUAAUUUAUAGAUUUUUUUUUCAACAGCAAAUUAUAUUUCUUCCAUCUUGUUAAUGACUGUUGGAUGGACAAUGCAGAAGGAUCCCUUUUGCAGGACAAAAAGGCUACAAAAAUAAUAGAAAUGAACGUCUGCAGCUGAAGAGUUUGGCUGGGACUUGAAAAGUUUGCUUUGGGUACGAGCCAGGUCCUGCUGAGGUCUGCAGGAAUUUUGCUCUUGGCCUCAGUGGGACCAAGCUUUCACCCUUGGAGGCCAUGUCCUGAGGAAGAAUUUAGUCUGAAAUAGUUUUCAAAACUUGUAUUGUUUGACUCACAACCAAGCAUUUUGUUGAGACCGAGUGGCUUUGUAUUUCUGAUUGACUCAUGUUGCUCAUCUUAGCAUCCUGCAGCAGUGAUCUCUCAAGGAAAUCCAAGUGUGAGAGAGGAUUGCAUGUAAGGUUCCUAAACCAAAAGCUUCUUGCAGGUCUUCCCAGGUGUCUGCUUAAGCUGUAUAUUUUUGGGAGGAGAUGUGCCUUGGAGCCCCAGCACAUCAGCACACUGCACUGAAGCUAUGGCUGUGACCUGUGGCAUGACUGGGAUAUGCCCAUCCAGACCCUGGUCAUCUUUGAUAGACCCAUCCCUCCAUUCUGCAUAUGAUUCUGUGAUUCAUGGUGAAACAAAUAUUUGAAGGAAGAACAGAGAACUAGUAAAGUGUUUUGAUUUAUACCUCACAUGUAUGCCCUUCCUUAUUACCCCCUUGGUCAUUUUUCCUGUAGACCUCAGAGACCACAUUGAAAAUAACCACUAUCAAAGUGAGGUUUGUGCCAUUCUUCUUCUUCUUCUGAUUAGAGCUAGGAUAACACAUUCAAAUAAUAAGUCUGAAGCUGGGCAUGGGUGGGACAACACUACUGUACUCUUAACACUGCAUGUUCUAGGCAGAUUUAACAUGCAGGUCUUGCAUUGUUGGACUGCACAAGUGUAGUAAUGUUGGAUUUUACUGCUCUAUAUCAACUUGUGAUGAAACGUGGUGACAUCAGCGGAGACAAAGGCCCAUUUCGUAUAAAGCUUGCAGAAACACCAAGUGCUUGUUUGGCCAUUCAGAACACGGAGCUGGGGAAAACAACUUGCUCAGUUCACAGCCCUGAAUCCUCUGGAGAUGCGUGGCUGGGUUAUUUCCUUGAUAUUCUGUGAUAUUAUGACCUGUUCUAAUAGCACAGGAUCAUAGAACUGUAGGAGUUGGAAGGGAGGAUUAUUGAGUUCCAGCCCCUGCUAAAGCAGAUUCCAUACAGGAGGUUGCACAGAACAGUAUCCAGACCCAAAGAAGGAGACUCCACAACCUCUGUGGUCAGCCUGUCACAUUUAAGCAGUUUAUAGUUAUCAUGAUUUAAGAUUUUCCUCCCAAAGUCAAUUGGUUUCACAGUAGACCCCAACAAAUCAGUAUUUUUGUUUUGCUGAAAUGGAGUGUGAUAUCAUUUUAAUGGCUCCUUUCUGAAAACCUUGAAAGCUGCUUAAGAAACAGAUUCACAGUGUAUGGGCUCGAAAACUAUCCCAUUCUGGUGCACUUGAAGUUGUCGAGCACAGAGUGCAUAAUUUAGAAUUGAAAAGAAAAAGAUGUAUCUGUGAAUUAAGGACUGCAAUACAGGAGCUAUCAACCACCAAGAGGCUCUUUUAACCUCAGCAGAGCUGUGCUCUUUAAUGUGUUUUUGUGGGGAAGAAGAAUAAAAAGGAAAUCUGAGAAAACUGAUCUUUAUUUUUAGAAAAAUAAUUUCUUUUUGCUAAGGAGGACUUUUUAUUUUCUGUGCUCUAAAUAAAGCAGUGAUAUGGUCCUGUUGUGCCUCAGGCUAUCCGCUUAAAAGAAAAGGCUCCAAAGAUGGACCAUCUGGAAGCCUGUGCAAGAGCACGCCAGUGCUGUUUGAUGUGGAAGAG
ensembl:lncRNA